CUCAGGACGAACGCUGGCGGCGUGCCUAACACAUGCAAGUCGAACGAGAAUCGCUUGAACAGAGGCUUCGGCCGACGGGAAGGUGAGGAAAGUGGCGAACGGGUGAGUAACGCGUGAGGAACCUGCCUCUCAGUGGGGGACAACAGUUGGAAACGACUGCUAAUACCGCAUAAUGUAACGAGACCGCAUGAUCUUGUUACCAAAGAUUUAUUGCUGAGAGAUGGACUCGCGUCUGAUUAGAUAGUUGGUGAGGUAACGGCUCACCAAGUCGACGAUCGGUAGCCGACCUGAGAGGGUGAUCGGCCACAUUGGGACUGAGACACGGCCCAGACUCCUACGGGAGGCAGCAGUGGGGAAUAUUGGGCAAUGGGCGCAAGCCUGACCCAGCAACGCCGCGUGAGGGAAGAAGGUUUUCGGAUUGUAAACCUCUGUCCUAGGUGAAGAGCAGAAGACGGUAGCCUAGGAGGAAGCUCCGGCUAACUACGUG
rnacentral:rRNA from 1 species